UUAACUUAUUAUAAUAUAACUCAGACGACAAAAAUACAAAGAGUUGGGGUCCUUUGGCAGGCGCUCCUCAGCACGAGUGCCAGGGGCCACAAGGGCGGCUUGCCAAAGCAACAAGAGUAAAAUAUACAGGGUGGAGGGUCUGCCCCGAAGGACAUAUCUCUGUAAUGAUCCUUCCGCUGGUUCACCAACGGAAA
rnacentral:misc_RNA from 1 species